GCCCGUAUAGCUUAGUGGUCGAGCAUCACGCUUGUAACGUGGGGGUCCUAGGUUCAAUCCCUAGUGCGGGCA
rnacentral:tRNA from 1 species